rnacentral:sRNA from 12 species
UAAAAUAAUAAGACCUUGAUAACUCAGUGCAGAGCGUGUAAACUGCACGUGCUGAGAAAUGCUGAAUAGUCAGUCAAGUCUGUUAAAGGAUACUUUGCAGAAUUGGUUGUCAAUCAUAUGUGAGUAUGAUUGAGAAGAAUUGAGUUUCGACACUAAGGCAUUGUGCAUUGAAUAUCGCAACCAAAGGUAGGGUGCGAGUCGGCAGGGUAAUAGAAAGCAUUGAUGAUAAGUCAAUGCCGAAGCCAAGUUAGAUAGUAACAGAUGGUGCUGACUAUAAACCUUGGUAAUACCAAUAACCUGUUUGGCAGUGAAGCAGAGAAAUCUGUGUAUAAGACUUGCAUGCAACUCCGAGUAGCCUAAUGCCGAGCCAAAUGUUGAUAGCAAGCGAUAUAAGAACGCUAAAAAACAUUUGAUGAAAUGUAGGUGAAAGGUGUGGGUAAUCAAUCCCACCUACACUAAGACUGAUUGAUAAACAAUGUUUAUCAGUUAGAUGUAGGAAAAGCAAGAACUUGCAAUCCUUGCUCAUCGCCUGCAUGUAGUGACCGAAUAUGGUUGAAGAUAUAUCAGAUGUAGGGUGAACAAAAGCCCAUCAAUGAUUCUUAUUAUUU